GAUGAACGCUGGCGGCGUGCCUAAUACAUGCAAGUCGAGCGAACAGAUGAGGAGCUUGCUCCUCUGACGUUAGCGGCGGACGGGUGAGUAACACGUGGAUAACCUACCUAUAAGACUGGGAUAACUUCGGGAAACCGGAGCUAAUACCGGAUAAUAUAUUGAACCGCAUGGUUCAAUAGUGAAAGACGGUUUUGCUGUCACUUAUAGAUGGAUCCGCGCCGCAUUAGCUAGUUGGUAAGGUAACGGCUUACCAAGGCGACGAUGCGUAGCCGACCUGAGAGGGUGACCGGCCACAGUGGAACUGAGACAGGGGCCCGACUCCUACGGGAGGCCGAAGGAGGGAAUUUUCCGCAAGGGGCGAAAGCCUGAAGGGGCAACCCCGCGUGAGGAAUGAAGGUUUUCGGAUCGAAAAACCUUUUUAUUGGGGAAAAAAAAAUGUGUAAGUAACUAUGCACGUCUUGACGGGCCCUAAUCAGAAAGCCACGGCUAACUAAGU
rnacentral:rRNA from 1 species